ensembl:snoRNA
GUGAGCUGAGGAUGAAGUGAAGUUAUCCCUGUCUGAAACGACCUAUCAUGAGGAGUGCUGUCUAGCUGAAGCUCAA